rnacentral:rRNA from 1 species
AGUGAACGCUGGCGGUAGACCUAACACAUGCAAGUCGAACGGCAGCACAGUAAGAGCUUGCUCUUACGGGUGGCGAGUGGCGGACGGGUGAGGAAUACAUCGGAAUCUACUUUUUCGUGGGGGAUAACGUAGGGAAACUUACGCUAAUACCGCAUACGACCUACGGGUGAAAGCAGGGGAUCUUCGGACCUUGCGCGAUUGAAUGAGCCGAUGUCGGAUUAGCUAGUUGGCGGGGUAAAGGCCCACCAAGGCGACGAUCCGUAGCUGGUCUGAGAGGAUGAUAAGCCACACUGGAACUGAGACACGGUCCAGACUCCUACGGGAGGCAGCAGUGGGGAAUAUUGGACAAUGGGCGCAAGCCUGAUCCAGCCAUACCGCGUGGGUGAAGAAGGCCUUCGGGUUGUAAAGCCCUUUUGUUGGGAAAGAAAAGCAGCAGGUUAAUACCCCGCCGUUCUGACGGUACCCAAAGAAUAAGCACCGGCUAACUUCGUG